UCUACAUCUUUCAGGUUGUGCAGCAGCUCCGGGAUGCCCCUAAUGUUGAAGUUUCACUGUGCAGAAUGUUGGCCAUAAAUUAUAAGAACAUAAACAGUUUGACAAAAUCAUAGAAGUUUCAUGUUGGAAGGAGUCUUGGAGGUCUUCUACACAGUAUCCCUAACAGAUGCUCACCCAGCCUCUGUUUAACCAUCCUAGAGUUCUCUGAAGGAAAACCGACCACUGUGCAAGGAAUUUGCACUUUAUGCAGAGAAUUGGACAUUGAUAGCAAGCCGGCUCAAUCGAUCAGCCCUAAGCACAAAGAUGCUAUUCUGCAAUAUUUCACAAUUUGCAUAAAGAGAUAUUGCUGUGUUGGUCCAAGAGAAUGGAAAAUGUGUGGGGUGCUAUGGUCGAUAGGGCCAGAUUUUGAAAGCACGAA